GGAGAGGUGGCCGAGCUGGCCGAAGGCAGCCGCCUGCUAAGCGGUUACAGGGGCUAAAACCUCUGUCCCGGGUUCGAAUCCCGGCCUCUCCGCCA
rnacentral:tRNA from 2 species